rnacentral:rRNA from 1 species
CCUACGGGUGGCAGCAGUGGGGAAUAUUGCACAAUGGCGGAAACCCUGAUGCAGCGACGCCGCGUGAAGGAAGAAGUAUUUCGGUAUGUAAACUUCUAUCAGCCGGGAAGAAAAUGACGGUACCUGACUAUGAAGCCCCGGCUAACUACGUGCCAGCAGCCGCGGCAAUACGUAGGGGGCAAGCGUUAUCCGGAUUUAAUGGGUGUAAAGGGGGCGUAGGCGGGAUGGCAAGUCUGGUGGGAAAGGCAGGGGGUCAACCCCUGGACUGCAUUUGAAACUGUCAGGCUGGAGUGCAGGAGAGGUAAGUGGAAUUCCUGGUGUAGCGGUGAAAUGCGUAGAUAUUAGGAGGAACACCAGUGGCGAAGGCGACUUACUGGACUGUAACUGACGUUGAGGCACGAAAGCGUGGGGAGCGAACAGGAUUAGAUACCCCAGUAGUC